CGGGGUUUAGCGCAGUUGGUAGCGCGCUACGUUCGGGACGUAGAGGUCGGGCGUUCGAGUCGCCUAACCCCGA
rnacentral:tRNA from 3 species